rnacentral:rRNA from 1 species
CCUACGGGUGGCUGCAGUGGGGAAUAUUGGACAAUGGGCGAAAGCCUGAUCCAGCCAUGCCGCGUGUGUGAAGAAGGCCUUCGGGUUGUAAAACACUUUCAGUGGGGAAGAAAGCCUUGGGGCUAAUACCCUCGAGGAAGGACAUCACCCACAGAAGAAGCACCGGCUAACUCCGUGCCAGCAGCCGCGGUAAUACGGAGGGUGCGAGCGUUAAUCGGAAUUACUGGGCGUAAAGCGCGCGUAGGGGGUCUGAUAAGCCGGUUGGGAAAGCCCCGGGCUCAACCUGGGAACGGCAUCCGGAACUGUCAGGCUAGAGUGCAGGAGAGGAAGGUAGAAUUCCCGGUGUAGCGGUGAAAUGCGUAGAGAUCAGGAGGAAUACCAGUGGCGAAGGCGGCCUUCUGGACUGACACUGACGCUGAGGUGCGAAAGCGUGGGUAGCAAACAGGAUUAGAUACCCGAGUAGUC